CCUGGCUCAGGAUGAACGCUGGCCGGCGUGCUAACACAUGCAAGUCGAACGAUGAAGCCCAGCUUGCUGGGUGGAUUAGUGGCGAACGGGUGAGUAACACGUGAGUAACCUGCCCUUAACUCUGGGAUAAGCCUGGGAAACUGGGUCUAAUACCGGAUAGGAGCGUCCACCGCAUGGUGGGUGUUGGAAAGAUUUAUCGGUUUUGGAUGGACUCGCGGCCUAUCAGCUUGUUGGUGAGGUAAUGGCUCACCAAGGCGACGACGGGUAGCCGGCCUGAGAGGGUGACCGGCCACACUGGGACUGAGACACGGCCCAGACUCCUACGGGAGGCAGCAGUGGGGAAUAUUGCACAAUGGGCGCAAGCCUGAUGCAGCGACGCCGCGUGAGGGAUGACGGCCUUCGGGUUGUAAACCUCUUUCAGUAGGGAAGAAGCGAAAGUGACGGUACCUGCAGAAGAAGCACCGGCUAACUACGUGCCAGCAGCCGCGGUAAUACGUAGGGUGCGAGCGUUAUCCGGAAUUAUUGGGCGUAAAGAGCUCGUAGGCGGUUUGUCGCGUCUGUCGUGAAAGUCCGGGGCUUAACCCCGGAUCUGCGGUGGGUACGGGCAGACUAGAGUGCAGUAGGGGAGACUGGAAUUCCUGGUGUAGCGGUGGAAUGCGCAGAUAUCAGGAGGAACACCGAUGGCGAAGGCAGGUCUCUGGGCUGUAACUGACGCUGAGGAGCGAAAGCAUGGGGAGCGAACAGGAUUAGAUACCCUGGUAGUCCAUGCCGUAAACGUUGGGCACUAGGUGUGGGGACCAUUCCACGGUUUCCGCGCCGCAGCUAACGCAUUAAGUGCCCCGCCUGG
rnacentral:rRNA from 1 species